rnacentral:rRNA from 1 species
AAACCAAGAGGAUUAAGUUAUACUUCUUUGGUUAAAAGAUAGUUAAGCAGGAUUCAAAGUUUAUUUAAUUAUUAUUUAGAAGUAAAAUUCGUAAAUAAUUGAGAGUUUUUAUUAUAACUAGGAGGCUGAAGCUAUGAAACCCCUGAGGGAAACUGGGAUUAGAUACCCCAUUAUUCUUGGAGAUAAAGGAAUAUAAAUUUACCAGAGUACUACGAAUUAGGUGCAUUUAAAACUCAAAGAGCUUGGCGGUGUUUUAGACUUUUCAGGGGAACCUGUCUCAUAAUCGACAAUCCACGAUAUACCCCGCCUUUAUUUGCAUUCAGUUUGUAUACCGUCGUCGGCAGGUAACUUUUUAGAAAAGAGAAGUUAGCAAGAGGACUGACUUAAUAAAUCCUUACGUCAGAUCAAGGUGCAGUCAAUAUAAAGGAGAGGAUGGGUUACAGUUAUUAAAGAUAUAAUUACGAAGCAACCAUUUGAAACAUAAUUGCGAAGGAGGACUUGAAAGUAAAAUAGAUUAUAUAAAUAUCUUGAAUUAAGCUCUGAAACGUGC